rnacentral:lncRNA from 1 species
GCCAUAAAACCUUCAGAGAAGGAUUACUUCACUUUUUUCCCCCCUCUGUUUUAAUGUGGCUGUCUGGAAGAAGUGUUUGCACUAAUGAAGCCUGCUGAACAAGAGAAUCCUUACAAAAGCUGGCUGCCUUUGCAAGAGUCCCGGGCAGCUGCCACCAGCUCCAGGAGGCGCCCUGAGCUUGCUCCAAGCAGAAUUAGUGAUGGAAGAGCUUUGUGCUUAGUCGUUCCAGAUGCUCUACCAGCCAACCCAAGGAACUGGG